CCUACGGGAGGCUGCAGUGAGGAAUAUUGGUCAAUGGACGAAAGUCUGAACCAGCCAUGCCGCGUGCAGGAAGACGGCUCUAUGAGUUGUAAACUGCUUUUGUACAAGGGUAAACCUGAAUACGUGUAUUCAGCUGAAAGUACUGUACGAAUAAGGAUCGGCUAACUCCGUGCCAGCAGCCGCGGUAAUACGGAGGAUCCAAGCGUUAUCCGGAUUUAUUGGGUUUAAAGGGUGCGUAGGCGGAUUGAUAAGUUAGAGGUGAAAGGCCGGGCUCAACUCGGGAACUGCCUCUAAUACUGUUGAUCUAGAGAGUAGAUGCGGUAGGCGGAAUGUAUGGUGUAGCGGUGAAAUGCUUAGAGAUCAUACAGAACACCGAUUGCGAAGGCAGCUUACCAAUCUAUAUCUGACGUUGAGGCACGAAAGCGUGGGGAGCAAACAGGAUUAGAUACCCUUGUAGUC
rnacentral:rRNA from 1 species